CAGAGGUGAGUGGAACUAAACUUAACCUUUUUAAAUUAAGAAAUGAAAUGCUUUUAUCAUGCUUCAUGCAUCAUGAUCAUAUUAUAGGUUGUUUGCAUUAGAAUUCACGACUAUGCCGCAUUGUAUUGUUGUGAUAGAUGAUAGUGGAUGGACAUUAGGAUGAUUCAUUAGCCUUCUAUAUACGAAGUCCUGUGGUGCCCAUAAUAGGGCCGGGCAAUACGAAGACCUGUGGUGCCCAUAAUAGGGCCGGGCAAUAACUCCGAGUACGAAGUCCUGUGGUGCCCAUAAUAGGGCCGGGCAAUACGAAGUCCUGUGGUGCCCAUAAUAGGGCCGGGCAUGGAGUUGAG
rnacentral:lncRNA from 1 species